rnacentral:sRNA from 1 species
GGAUUUAAUAUUCAUUCGGGUAAUUCUGACCUCGGUAAAUAUACCCGACGGUGCUAUCGUAGUUUGUCACAACCCUCAAGGGUCUGUCAACUGCAGUUUGUCUGUUGACUACAGUUUGCUUUUCAGGGAUAUUUGACGCUUAAAAGAUUAAUAUAUUUAUUUAGACGAGCCCUGUACCGGAAAUGAAGCCCGAUCUUUACUAGAGACCCAAGUCUAGUUCCAGAACGCAUUCCGCAUCCCCGUCAACUUCCGCCGAGUAUAUGGUAGGAAUUGAUUCGAUUCAAUUCUAUUUCAAAGGGCGAGUUUUCGCAAGGUAUCUGCCGAUCAUAUUGAUAUUUCCCUGUUGAUUUUCCCUAGCAUCUAUAUGGCUUCUAAAAACAUGGAUGUACCCACAUGUUUCUUCCCCUGUUGUGUGUGGGCUGUGGUCGAUGUCACAACAUCUUCCUCUCCACACGCCUUGCUGUUUCUGAUUUCCCAUACCCAUUUCCAUUUGAAGGCCUUUAAUAUGUCAUAUGGAAGACUUGGCCAGCAGAGUGUUUCGACAAAAGCGCAUUGGUCAAUCGGCCCAGUGGGCUGAAAACAUCCAGGGUCUGGAAGAACUGAGCCGUUAGAUCAAUAACUAAAACUCAAGAAUCGCACCUUUUACAUUUUUCUUGCGUCUAUUCCAGAGAAUUUUUUUAUAUCCUUGACGGAACAGGCCACUCAAGUUUCAUCGAUCCCACUUUGGAGACUGUCGUGCGGAUGGACAUCCUUAAGGUUGUUUCAAUAUCUGUUGUGGAAACCUAUGGUUUCCAUAUUUUUGAUCAAGUCACCACAUCAUUCAGUCGGCGGGUCUUUUGGACCCUAUUCAUUGUUCAAUAUGUCGUUUUAAAGACCUAUUGGAUAUGGAUCUAUCCGCUCAUUGCGUCGCCACUACGUUCUCUUCCUGGCCCAAAUUAUACACAAUUUCUUCUUGGUCAGACCUACAACCAGAUCACCGCUUCCUGUCCGAAUUCGAUUGCCUUGGCAUGGAUGAAGAAAUUUCCUGAUGCGGAUCUAAUUCGAUAUUUUGCUCCAGGGAACCACGAAGUGGUUCUUGUCAAUAGCCCAAGAGCAUUCCGCGAGGUAACAUUUACCCACGCGUAUUCUUUCGCCAAACCAAGAUUCUUUAAGCGUUUAGUAGGGGACAUGAUUGGAGGCGGUCUUUUUUUUGCCGAAGGCGAUGUCCACAGAAAGCAGAAAAAGUUACUUGCCGGUCCUUUUUUGAAUAAAAACGUCAAGCACCUACUACCCGUUUUCGAACAGAAUGCUGAUGAGCUUUCUUCUUCCAUCGAGACACUUGUUGUGGAUAGUGAAACAGGAGCUAUUGAAAUUUCAUGCUUGAUAUCAAAAUCGUUACUUGAUAUAAUCAGCCAAGCAAUCCUCGGACUCGAGCUCGACGGCCAUUCUAUUGCCAGCGAGCUUGGACGAUGUUAUCAUACAAUAUUUAGCUCUACCACGAUGUCCCGUGUUAUGCUGGUUCUCAAUACGUGUGUGCCGGUACGACGGCUUUUACCAGUGAAAACGAACCGAGAAUAUACUGAUGCAAAUAUUGAGAUAAAGCAAAUUUUGAAGAAGCAUGUACAGCAGCGAACUCACGAAAUAAGAAGUUUGUGGAGAGAAAGAUUGAAAUCGAAAAACAAAGACAUAUUGACACUAAUAAUUCAAGAACAACUGAAAAAAAGUGAUGAAUUCCCUGAAGAUGAAAUUGUCGACCAUGUAAGCUUAACUUCUGUCAAUGAAUUCGGCCUACGAUCGAAUAUGGUUCUUUCCCUCCCCUCCCCCCCCUUUUUUUUUCAAAAAAAAAAAAAAAAAAAAAAAAAAAAAGGGAAUUUACUAACCCAAAAAUGUAGCUCCGAACUUUCCUAGCUGCCGGACUAGAAACUGUCGGAGCCACCAUGCUGUGGGCAUUUCAUGCACUAGCAAGCCACCAGGAUGUACAAGAUCGCCUGCGAAACGAAAUUAACGCAGCGGGCGACGGGAAAAGCAGCGAGCUCAAGUAUUCAGACAUCUGCAAGCUAGAGUUGUUAGAUCACUUUGUCAAAGAAGUUCUCCGCUGCUAUCCUCCCUCCACAUGUUCCAUGCGUGAAGCCAUUCAUAACGUUUCAAUAUGCGGCCAACUUAUCCCUGCUGGCACACAUGUCCUCAUGUUUCCAGUUAUGCCUCAGUCUAACAGUAUUAUAUGGGGUAGAAAUCCGGAGAAAUUUGAUCCUGAUCGUUGGAAAACUUUGCCAACUUCAGCUCGUGAUGGAUACACAUUCCAGGCGUUCAAUACCGGUCCGCGAGCCUGCCUAGGUAAAUCUUUCGCAAUGCUUGAGGUCAAGGUCCUGGUUAUGAAGCUCGUAGCGCGAUGGAGGUUCUGCCAUGUGUCAAAACCAGUAGUGUUGCAGAAGAUUGGGCUGCUAUUUAAACCCGCUAAUGGGCUAGAAUUAAAAAUUG